rfam:Stomoxys calcitrans breed 8C7A2A5H3J4 unplaced genomic scaffold Scaffold2, whole genome shotgun sequence.
UCAAAAUGGCUUUCGGUGAUUAUCCAGCUGAAUAUAACCCAAAAGUGCAUGGUCCUUAUGACCCUGCACGUUUCUAUGGCAAAGGUAUAAACGCGAUA